rnacentral:rRNA from 1 species
AUACGUAGGUGACAAGCGUUAUCCGGAUUUACUGGGCGUAAAGGGCGUGUAGGCGGUCUUGCAAGUCAGAAGUGAAAUUCCUGAGCUCAACUCGGGCGCUGCUUCUGAAACUGCAGGACUUGAGUGCUGGAGGGGAUAGCGGAAUUCCUAGUGGAGCGGUAAAAUGCGCAGAUAUUAGGAGGAACACCGGCGGCGAAGGCGGCUUACUGGACUGUAACUGACGUUGAGGCUCGAAAGCGUGGGGAGCAAACAGGAUUAGAUACCCUGGUAGUCCACGCCGUAAACGAUGAUUACUAGGUGUUGGUUGUCAUAGACAAUCGGUGCCGCAGCAAACGCAAUAAGUAAUCCACCUGGGGAGUACGUUCGCAAGAAUGAAACUCAAAGGAAUUGACGGGG